rnacentral:rRNA from 1 species
GUGCCUAAUACAUGCAAGUCGAACGCUUCUUUUUCCACCGGAGCUUGCUCCACCGGAAAAAGAGGAGGGCGAACGGGUGAGUAACACGUGGGUAACCUGCCCAUCAGAAGGGGAUAACACUUGGAAACAGGUGCUAAUACCGUAUAACAAUCGGAACCGCAUGGUUUCGAUUUGAAAGGCGCUUUCUGGUGUCGCUGAUGGAUGGACCCGCGGUGCAUUAGCUAGUUGGUGAGGUAACGGCUCACCAAGGCGACGAUGCAUAACCGACCUGAGAGGGUGAUCGGCCACGUUGGGACUGAGACACGGCCCAAACUCCUACGGGAGGCAGCACUACGGAAUCUUCGGCAAUGGACGAAAGUCUGACCGAGCAACGCCGCGUGAGUGAAGAAGGUUUUCGGAUCGUAAAACUCUGUUGUUAGAGAAGAACAAGGAUGAGAGUAACUGUUCAUCCCUUGACGGUAUCUAACCAGAAAGCCACGGCUAACUACGUGCCAGCAGCCGCGGUAAUACGUAGGUGGCAAGCGUUGUCCGGAUUUAUUGGGCGUAAAGCGAGCGCACGCGGUUUCUUAAGUCUGAUGUGAAAGCCCCCGGCUCAACCGUGGGAGGGUCAUUGGAAACUGGGAGACUUGAGUGCAGAAUGAGGAGAGUGGAAUUCCAUGUGUAGCGCGUGAAAUGCGUAGAUAUAUGGAGGAACACCAGUGGCGAAGGCGGCUCUCUGGUCUGUAACUGACGCUGAGGCUCGAAAGCGUGGGGAGCAAACAGGAUUAGAUACCCUGGUAGUCCACGCCGUAAACGAUGAGUGCUAAGUGUUGGAGGGUUUCCGCCCUUUCAGUGCUGCAGCUAACGCAUUAAGCACUCCGCCUGGGGAGUACGACCGCAAGGUUGAAACUCAAAGGAAUUGACGGGGGCCCGCACAAGCGGUGGAGCAUGUGGUUUAAUUCGAAGCAACGCGAAGAACCUUACCAGGUCUUGACAUCCUUUGACCACUCUAGAGAUAGAGCUUCCCCUUCGGGGGCAAAGUGACAGGUGGUGCAUGGUUGUCGUCAGCUCGUGUCGUGAGAUGUUGGGUUAAGUCCCGCAACGAGCGCAACCCUUAUUGUUAGUUGCCAUCAUUUAGUUGGGCACUCUAGCAAGACUGCCGGUGACAAACCGGAGGAAGGUGGGGAUGACGUCAAAUCAUCAUGCCCCUUAUGACCUGGGCUACACACGUGCUACAAUGGGA